CAUUUCUCUAUGCACGUAACGAAAGAAGAACUUGAUCGCUUAGUUUAAAGGAAAGCUGACAAAGUGUUUGUCUGGAGAUGGAUGCAGAGGCCGAAUACUAGAACGGGCACCACGGACAGCGACGCUUGGUAGACUGGCGAGAUAGUGCGAGAGAGCGAGUGAGUGAGGGUGUGUGUGCGGUGACUUCAAACUGCGCAAAACUCCCUCGGCUCUCCCUGAGCAAGCCGUGACCAGAAGUCAAAUACUUAACCAUCGCAUGUAUCUGUCAUUACACGUUCGUGUUCUGCGUGUGCAGCGAGAGCCGUGCGAGGGGAAUGACACGCGGACUCCGGACAGCGUGCUUGCCGCUGCAGUCCUCCGACGCCCGAAAUGAGAGCAGCACACCAAGCGCCGCUAAACAGCGCCCUCUGUCGAAAUUCCGCGCGUAUUCCUAGGACUUGUCUCGUAGGCAGGCAUUAUGUGAACAUUUCACUAGUCUGUUUUCUCCUUGUUAGCAAGUUUUGAACCGAAAGCUUUACGUACCCUUGCGGUGAUCCAGCGCAUGAAAUAUGUCAAGGAUCAAUUUAAUUUCAAUUCCCUGCAGUCGAUUUCAACAACAGUAAUGGUACUAAUUAGGACAUUAAUGACAUUUGUAACGAGUGUUUUCGAAAGCCGCUAGAGGGUGUCACCCUUUUAAUGUGGACGGCAAAAAUGAGAGGUCAGCUUUUUAUUAGUGACAUUCAUUUUUAGAAACCUAAUUUUACGUGAGCUUUCCCUCCGUGCCUCCAUGUUCUUUGUUGCUCGCGCUACAUC